AGAAAACUGAGUGCUCAUUUGUUUUAACAAUGGACUAGCUGUUCCCCAUCCUAUUUGCAACCUCCCAAGAAUGACAUAGCUGGAUCUGCCCACUGAGGACAUGCUGUGAUGUUCAGGCACUGACAGGUUCUCGAAGAAUGCCUUGUCAUAGGAUAACUUCGCAAAAUACCCCAAACUACUGGAGCUAAAGCCAGCCUGCUCCCUUCAAGUGCGUACUUCCUGAGGCCAUUUGCCAAACCAGCAAGUCCUGCUGAACUUCAAACCCUUGUGCCAAUUUCCAUUGUAUUAACUGUAGCUUUGAGUUUGCCUGACCCAGGCCUGAAUGGAUCAAAGCCCCGUGGUAGCUGUCAAACACAAAUAAGCAUAACUCAAAGGGUGACCGCUCACCCCAGCAAUGGAAAAGCAGCAAAAUACUGCUCUGAAACCUGCAAAAGCCAAGCAGGUAGAGAGGCUUCCUGGAAAACUAUCAGCACUGUCUGAGCUGAAACCGGGACAUGGGGAGGGUGCAGUGCAGUGCUUGCUCAAGUGAUGGCAAAUAAUUGGGUGCAUUCUGAUACAUUGGCUAAACAUGGUCCUGUG
rnacentral:lncRNA from 1 species